rnacentral:rRNA from 1 species
GACGAACGCUGGCGGCGUGCUUAACACAUGCAAGUCGAACGGAAAGGCCCUGCUUUUGUGGGGUGCUCGAGUGGCGAACGGGUGAGUAACACGUGAGUAACCUGCCCUUGACUUUGGGAUAACUUCAGGAAACUGGGGCUAAUACCGGAUAGGAGCUCCUGCUGCAUGGUGGGGGUUGGAAAGUUUCGGCGGUUGGGGAUGGACUCGCGGCUUAUCAGCUUGUUGGUGGGGUAGUGGCUUACCAAGGCUUUGACGGGUAGCCGGCCUGAGAGGGUGACCGGCCACAUUGGGACUGGGAUACGGCCCAGACUCCUACGGGAGGCAGCAGUGGAGAAUAUUGCACAAUGGGCGGAAGCCUGAUGAAGCAACGCCGCGUGCGGGAUGACGGCCUUCGGGUUGUAAACCGCUUUCGCCUGUGACGAAGCGUGAGUGACGGUAAUGGGUAAAGAAGCACCGGCUAACUACGG